GACGACGCUGGCGGCGUGCUUAACACAUGCAAGUCGAACGAGUGGCGGACGGGUGAGUAAUGUCUGGGAAACUGCCCGAUGGAGGGGGAUAACUACUGGAAACGGUAGCUAAUACCGCAUACCAUCGGAUGUGCCCAGAUGGGAUUAGCUAGUAGGUGGGGUAACGGUUCACCUAGGCGACGAUCCCUAGCUGGUCUGAGAGGAUGACCAGCCACACUGGAACUGAGACACGGUCCAGACUCCUACGGGAGGCAGCAGUGGGGAAUAUUGCACAAUGGGCGCAAGCCUGAUGCAGCCAUGCCGCGUGUAUGAAGAAGGCCUUCGGGUUGUAAAGUACUUUCAGCGAGGAGGCGUUACUCGCAGAAGAAGCACCGGCUAACUCCGUGCCAGCAGCCGCGGUAAUAC
rnacentral:rRNA from 1 species